CAGUAGCCACGGUAAUACAGAGGGUGCGAGCGUUAAUCGGAUUUACUGGGCGUAAAGCGUGCGUAGGCGGCUUCUUAAGUCGGAUGUGAAAUCCCUGAGCUUAACUUAGGAAUUGCAUUCGAUACUGGGAAGCUAGAGUAUGGGAGAGGAUGGUAGAAUUCCAGGUGUAGCGGUGAAAUGCGUAGAGAUCUGGAGGAAUACCGAUGGCGAAGGCAGCCAUCUGGCCUAAUACUGACGCUGAGGUACGAAAGCAUGGGGAGCAAACAGGAUUAGAUACUCCGGUAGUCCCUGUCUCUUAUAC
rnacentral:rRNA from 1 species